rnacentral:rRNA from 1 species
CCUACGGGUGGCUGCAGUGAGGAAUAUUGGUCAAUGGACGCAAGUCUGAACCAGCCAAGCCGCGUGCAGGAAGAAGGCACUAUGAGUUGUAAACUGCUUUUGUAAGAGGGUAAACGCUGAUACGCGUACCCGUCUGAAUGUACCCUACGAAUAAGGAUCGGCUAACUCCGUGCCAGCAGCCGCGGUAAUACGGAGGAUUCAAGCGUUAUCCGGAUUUAUUGGGUUUAAAGGGUGCGUAGGCGGUCGGUUAAGUUAGAGGUGAAAUCCCGGGGCUCAACUUCGGAAUUGCCUCUGAUACUGUUCGGCUAGAGUGUAGUAGCGGUAGGCGGAAUGUAUGGUGUAGCGGUGAAAUGCUUAGAGAU